rnacentral:rRNA from 1 species
AACGAACGCUGGCGGCGCGCCUAAUACAUGCAAGUCGAGCGGCAGCGCGGGGGCAACCCUGGCGGCGAGCGGCGAACGGGUGAGUAAUACAUCGGAACGUGUCCUUAAGUGGGGGAUAGCUCGGCGAAAGCCGGAUUAAUACCGCAUAAGCUCUGAGGAGGAAAGCGGGGGCUCCGUAAGGACCUCGCGCUGUUGGAGCGGCCGAUGUCGGAUUAGCUAGUUGGUGGGGUAAAGGCCCACCAAGGCGACGAUCCGUAGCUGGUCUGAGAGGAUGAUCAGCCACACUGGAACUGAGACAACGGUCCAGACUCCUACGGGAGGCAGCAGUGGGGAAUUUUGGACAAUGGGGCAACCCUGAUCCAGCCAUUCCGCGUGAGUGAAGAAGG